CUAACAGAGAGAGAGGGAGAGAGAGAGUCUGGCUCUCAGAGCUGCUUCUGUUCAAAGUUGGAUAAUGAUUUACUUUUGGUGCAGCCUGGAGUGAGAAAGAAAUUGGUAAUGAAUGGCCUUUUUCCACUCUCCAGAGUGCUUCAGUGUCUAAAAAGUCCCAGAGGUUCCCCCAGAAGUUCAGGCUAAUCUUCACUGCACAAGGUAGAGCAUGGCAAAUAUGGAAACAUCUGUGUUAUGCAAAUUCCUCUGGAAUGGUUGAAUGACAGAGUCCAUCCUGAGCUCUCCUGCAGGAUUACAGCAGAUCCUGACCCUGUUGACCUGGUAUCAACCCUCUUCUGUAAGCUGGGCACAGCAGAAGAGGAGGAGGAGGACAGAUACUCUCCAUGGUCACAGGACAGCAGCUUUGGCCGUUCCACAUUGUCAUUCAUUCCUGUCCCCCACACGCGUGCCUGAUCAUACAGGAAAAUGAGUUUACAACCGACUACGCCUAUGGGACUCCCGGAGGGACACAAUGCCAGAGCCUUUACUGGCGGUGGAUGGAUCCUCAAAAGGUUUGAAAGUUUGAAACUCAAGAAUAAGACAAGAAUUACUAAGAACUCAGUAUUUUCUUCUAGCUGCUGGCUCUCCUGCCACACCAAUGUCCUGUUGUAUUAAGAGGCUACACAUCUGUGCCUGUCUAACACACCUGCUAGACCUCUUGAGAGAUAUGAUUAUAUUAAUUACAAUAUAUUGAUUGAUUUCUACUUUACACGGACUGCCUGUAUUUAAUUUAAAUAUACAAUGAAGCAUAUUGAGGACACAAUUUGGAUUGUUACUGUGAUAAAUAAUUGCUAAUUGUGUCAUGAUAGAUCACCUAUUUUAAGGCAAUGUUUCUCUUAUGCUAAUAGCAACUGCAUAUAUGGAAUACAGUGAGAAUCUGUUUCAAUUAUUCAUAUUUGUUCCUGGACUUUUCUAUUCAGGUCUGGAAGGAACAAUACAUAUCUUGGCACUUCAAAACAAAUGCUGGCAUAAUUUUCAGGAAAACAUUUAUGCCUUUUCACAUAGAGUCCAUGCAUGCUGUUAUGUUGAUUACAUGAAAAUAUAGACGUCAGUAUGUAAUUCUGGUCUCUGUUUUGCUAAUUCUAGUCUGUGUACAAUAUAUAUAUAUAUAUAUAUAUAUAUAUAAAGAUCAGUCAGCUAAACCGUUAAUAAUAUUUGUAAAAGCAACUG